AUGGAUGGGUUGAUGGAAUGCCUAAGGAUGGUUGAGCUAGACAAGCUGAUCGAGAUAGACAAUUGGGCAGGAUGGAUGAGGAUUGUCGAGAUGGAUGAACUAAAGAGAUGGACGGGUUGUUGUGUUGGCCGAACUGACGGGGAUGACUAGGAUAGAUAAGAUGUACAUGUUGGUUGGAAUGGACUAGAUGGACCAAACUAAGGGAUAACUAGGAUGGACGGGAUGGACGAGUUGAUGGAAUGAGCGAGUUGACGGAAUGGGUGGAUGAGCGAGGUGGUGUGUUGGUCGAGCUAACAGGAAUGGACGAGAUUAGUUGGAUGUUGGAAUGGCCGAGAUGAUGGGAUGGGCGAGCUGGUGUAUUGGUCAAGCUGAAGGAAAUGGCUAGGAUGGACAGGAUUAACCGGCUCGGGGACGAGCGAGAUUACCAGACUGAUUUGAUGUGCGGGAUAAUGGGAUAGGCAGGUUGACGAGGAUGAUUGAGAUGGAUGGGAUUGAUCGAACUGCUCGGAUGGCCAAUAUGGACGAAAUGACGAGAUGACCAGAUGAUUAAGAUGGACGAGCUAAUGGGAUGUGCAUGAUGGACAGGUUGUUGGGAUGACUAAGAUGGAUGACUAGCUGGGAUGAUCAAGCUAACGGGGAUGGACGAGUUGGCCAGGAUGGAGGGGAUGGACCGGACUUACUUGAUGGUCGGGAUGGACGCACUGGUCAAUCUGGCCAGACUAACCUAGAUGGUCGAGACAGGCGGGGAUGACCUAGCUGAUAGGAUGGCUAGGUUGUCAGGUUGAUUGGGAUGGAUGAGCUGACAAGAUGGUUGGGAUAGUCGAGAUGACUUGAUGGUUAGGCUGACAAGAAUGGUCAGAAUGGAUGAGUUGGACGGGAUUGGUCGGGUUUACUAUAUGGUCGGGAUGGACAGAUUGAUGAGAUGAUCAAGAUAUAUAAGACAAACAAAUUGACAGGAUGAUCAAGUUGUUAGUGUGAUCGAACUGACUAGAACAAAUGGACUAAUGGGAUGAAUGUGAUAGACGGGUUGGUCAGUUUAGUCAGACUGACCUGUUAGAUCUGGUUCUUUUUGUCAUUCCUACUCAGUCUGGUCAGACUGACCUGUUAGAUC
rnacentral:lncRNA from 1 species